GACGAACGCUGGCGGCGUGCCUAACACAUGCAAGUCGAACGGAGUAGAGAGCUUCGGCUUUCUACUUAGUGGCGAACGGGUGAGUAACGCGUGAGGAACCUGCCUUUCAGUGGGGGACAACAGUUGGAAACGACUGCUAAUACCGCAUAAUGUUAUUGAGUGGCAUCACUUGAUAACCAAAGCUUUAUGUGCUGAAAGAUGGUCUCGCGUCUGAUUAGCUAGAUGGCGGGGUAACGGCCCACCAUGGCGACGAUCAGUAGCCGGUCUGAGAGGAUGAACGGCCACAUUGGGACUGAGAUACGGCCCAGACUCCUACGGGAGGCAGCAGUGGGGAAUAUUGGGCAAUGGGGGAAACCCUGACCCAGCAACGCCGCGUGAAGGAAGACGGUCUUCGGAUUGUAAACUUUGUUCUUAGUGAAGAAAAAUGACGGUAGCUAAGGAGAAAGCCACGGCUAACUACGUG
rnacentral:rRNA from 1 species